GUCCACGCCAUAAACGAUGACAACUAGAUGUUGGGAGGGUUAGCCUCUCGGUGUCGUAGCUAACGCGUUAAGUUGUCCGCCUGGGGAGUACGGCCGCAAGGUUGAAACUCAAAGGAAUUGAUGGGGACCCCGCACAAGCGGUGGAGCAUGUGGUUUAAUUCGAUGCAACGCGAAGAACCUUACCUGGUCUUGACAUCUGUCGAAUCCUGCAGAGAUGCGGGAGUGCCUUCGGGAACGAUAAGACAGGUGCUGCAUGGCUGUCGU
rnacentral:rRNA from 1 species